rnacentral:rRNA from 1 species
UCGGGAAUUUUGGGCAAUGGGCGAAAGCCUGACCCAGCAACGCCGCGUGAGGGAUGAAGUAUUUCGGUAUGUAAACCUCGAAAGAAUGGGAAGAAUAAAUGACGGUACCAUUUAUAAGCUCCGGCUAACUACGUGCCAGCAGCCGCGGUAAUACGUAGGGAGCAAGCGUUGUUCGGAUUUACUGGGCGUACAGGGCGCGUAGGCGGCGCGGUAAGUCACUUGUGAAAUCUCUGAGCUUAACUCAGAACGGCCAAGUGAUACUGCUGUGCUAGAGUGCGGAAGAGGCAACCGGAAUUCUUGGUGUAGCGGUGAAAUGCGUAGAUAUCAAGAGGAACACCUGAGGCGAAGGCGGGUUGCUGGGCCGACACUGACGCUGAUGCGCGAAAGCCAGGGGAGCAAACG